rnacentral:misc_RNA from 1 species
UUUCUGAGUGAUUGACUUGCUAUAGGCCUAAUUGCUACUAUUAAUCAGCUUUGUGAUAUUUUGUUAUUGAUUUUUAUCGUAUUCAUUCCAGUUGAUAUUUUCAAUUUCUAUCAUGGAUAUGUCGCUGGCUACCGCUGGCCUUGAUUGGGCACGCAGUGUGGACGCAGCCAUGGACCAACGCAGCCAAGCUUACCAGGCUGGGCCAGCGACUCGACCAAUAUGUGGAAGCAGGACUGAAAUUUUUAAACAGGUGCGUUUGGAAUGUGUGGUGAGUUUAUUGAAGGCAGCUGUGGCUCCACUCAGCUCAUUCAUAAUGGAGGCACUUGCUCUGAAUCACCCUUUAACGGCCGCCAUUCGCCAACAACUGCAACUGGUUCCAAGCAAAAUGGUGCUGAAAAGUAUCAAUUCAAUGAAACCUACAACACCGACCAUGAUGUGGAGGACGAUGAGGAAGAGCCGGCCGGGGAUUGAGACCUAGAGGGUGUGGAAGAGGCUGUCGAGGAGGCUGUUGAAGAGGCUGUCGAGGAGGCUGUCGAAGAGGCGAGUGGAGAGGCUUUCUGAAGGAGGCUGAGGUUCUAAAUAAGCUGGAGCAAGUGAUUUGGAUGUAAUUUUUCAACAUGUCAUACGGAGUGUGCUGGGGGUUUGGUGUCCUCUCAAAGGGCACCAAAUAAGAGAGGCCCACCCACGAGUGCCUUCCAUCCCCCAACCACUGCACAUAGAACGAAAUUCUAUAAACAUCGUUGGAGCACACUGAAAACAAACAUGAAGAAAAAAUUAAACUUAUUCUGCUUAUUGUAAAAAACUAGUGAAUAUGAAUACUGUAAUAAUCUACUCUAGUAAUAAUCAAUUGUAAUAAUCAAAUACAUGUUGGUGCAUUACAAAUGUUGUAAUUUUAAAUUAUGAAAGAGAUAGAUAUAAAUGAAUAGAUGAAAAUUCAAAAGGGCGAUAAUAAUAUUGUUAUGCAUAUAAUAUGAAUAAUUUGUAUAAUAUGUAAUAUAUCAUUGCAUUUGUAUAUGAAUAAAAAUAAAUGAACAAAACAAGAAAUGCAAUAGCGGACUAUCCGGAGUAUUGUACAAGUAGAUAAUGUUGAUGACUUACUUUUUCUUUUGUAGAAUCUCCCAUCAUUGUCUGUUACAAUGUGGCAAGGCCAAAAAGGCUGUUUGCCGAUUCUUCCCUACAUAAUAUCCCCUAAGACUGAAAUUAAAAAACAAUUACAUUUUCAAACUAAGUAACAACAACUAUAUAUAUGUAUAAUUCUUUAAAACGAGUAGUUAUUUCAUUUUUUUCACAUUUAAAUCAUCUACUUGAUGGGCUAAAAUCAUACAAACAUAUAAUUACAAAAAUAUUUGGCCUCCACAUCUCCCCUUACAGCCAAACCAUUCCUCCACAAUAAUGACAAAGUAGCCAUUAUAAUAUAUAUUUAUUAUACAUACAUAUUAUGUAUAAUUCUUUAUAACAAGUAGUUAUUUCAAUUUUUUCACAUUUAAAUGUACAUCUACUUAAUGGGCUAAAAUCAUACAAACAUAUAAUUACAAAAAUAUUUGGCCUCCACAUCUCCCCUUACAGCCAAACCAUUCCUCCACAAUAAUGA